rfam:Rozella allomycis CSF55 unplaced genomic scaffold scaffold_972, whole genome shotgun sequence.
GGUCCUGUGGCCAAAUUGGAUAAGGCGCCUGACUACGGAUCAGGCGAUUGCACGUUCGAGUCGUGCCAGGAUCG